AACCACAUCACGUUGAAAUACUAGUUCGCGUACGAUCACCGAAGUUAAGCAACGUCGAGCCUGAUCAGUAACUAGAUGGGUGACUGCUUGCGAAUACCUGGUGCU